rnacentral:rRNA from 1 species
AUCCUGGCUCAGAACGACCGCUGGCGGCAGUCCUAACACAUGCAAGUCGAGCGCCCUCUUCGGAGGGAGCGGCGGACGGGUUAGUAACGCGUGGGAACGUGCCCUUCUCUAAGGAAUAGCCUCUGGAAACGGAGAGUAAUACCUUAUACGCCCUUCGGGGGAAAGAUUUAUCGGAGAAGGAUCGGCCCGCGUUAGAUUAGAUAGUUGGUGGGGUAACGGCCUACCAAGUCGACGAUCUAUAGCUGGUUUGAGAGGAUGAUCAGCAACACUGGGACUGAGACACGGCCCAGACUCCUACGGGAGGCAGCAGUGGGGAAUCUUAGACAAUGGGCGCAAGCCUGAUCUAGCCAUGCCGCGUGAGCGAUGAAGGCCUUAGGGUCGUAAAACUCUUUCGCCAGGGAUGAUAAUGACAGUACCUGGUAAAGAAACCCCGGCUAACUCCGUGCCAGCAGCCGCGGUAAUACGGAGGGGGUUAGCGUUGUUCGGAAUUACUGGGCGUAAAGCGCGCGUAGGCGGACCGUUAAGUUAGGGGUGAAAUCCCGGGGCUCAACCCCGGAACUGCCCUUAAUACUGGCGGUCUUGAGUUCGAGAGAGGUGAGUGGAAUUCCGAGUGUAGAGGUGAAAUUCGUAGAUAUUCGGAGGAACACCAGUGGCGAAGGCGGCUCACUGGCUCGAUACUGACGCUGAGGUGCGAAAGCG